CGAUUACAAAGGGGCAGUACGCCGUUUUAUACUCUGGAGAGGAAUGUCUGGGCAGCUCAAUGAUAUCGUAUACAGGACCAUCCUAUUUUGCACUUAAUCGGCAAAACUGUAUAAAUGAUGCUCGUAGCCACAAUUUGAUAGCCAUCUCUUAGAGUUUAAAUGUAUCAGUGUGUUAAUUUGAAGCUUGAAACUUUCAACGUGCUCCGAGAUGGAGAUGCGCUCAAAUUUCUGUCUAGAAUCUAGUCUAGAUGCUAUAUAUUUCAAUGACAGAAAUUAUCAUGAAUGCCACUUAUGUAUCAUCAUCGAGACA